rnacentral:rRNA from 1 species
AUUGAACGCUGGCGGCAGGCCUAACACAUGCAAGUCGGGCGGAGCGGCGGACGGGUGAGUAAUGCCUAGGAAUCUGCCUGGUCGUGGGGGAAAACGUCCGGAAACGAGCGCUAAUACCGAAUACUAUCAGACGAGCCAAGGUAGGAGUAGCUAGGUGGUGGGGUAAAGGCCUACUAAGGCGACGAUCCGUCACUGGUCUGAGAGGAUGAUCAGUCACACGGGAACUGAGACACGGUCCAGACUGCUACGUGAGGCAGCAGGGGGGAAUAUUGGACAAUGGGCGAAAGCCUGAUCCAGCCAGGCCGCGUGUAUGAAGAAGGUCUUCGGAUUGUAAAGCACUUUCAGUUGGGAGGCGUUACCAACAGAGUAAGCACCGGCUAACUUCGUGCCAGCAGCCGCGGUAAUAC